rnacentral:tRNA from 1 species
GGCAAGGUAGCCCAACUUGGCAGAGGCACGACGUCGAGAGCGUCGCCAGUGUGGGUUCGACUCCCAUCCUUGCCA